AGUGAUUUGCUUGUUUUCUCAUAGUGAAGAAUAUAUUGCCAGAUGCUAUUGAGACAUAGUGAUGAAACCUGUGAGCUCAGUACAUGGUCACAGGGAUUUUGAGCUUGUAAAACCGUUUUGAAUAUGUGUAGAAAAGCUUUGUAAUUGUAAAAACAUUUUAAAUAGGCAAUGCAGUAUAGAAACGAUUUGUACUUAUAAAAAUGUUUCAGCAAGUGUAAAAAAGUUCAUAUAACCUGUAAACGAAUGAAUUUACACAAAGACGCUGAAAAUAAGUGCGUUUGUGAAAAUGGGCCUUCACAUGACGUCAGACAAGUUCAGUUGCUCUUCUCAUGGUGGCGUCCUCACUUCUGUUGGUCAGCGUAGUCAUCUAAAUCGUCAAUAGGCUACAGACAUGAAUUGAUGAUAGAUUAACGGACCGUGGAUAUUUUUCCACUGUGCUGCCGGUUAGGCCUCCUCUUUAAGCGCGUACAAGCAACGUGUCUGUGACAGGGAGUGUAGUGCGCGCUAUUUUGUGGAAGCGGCCUGUACAGUAAUGUACAUGCUACUAUGGGUGGUAAAAAUAUAGUAGUUAGCUGGAAAAACGUCUAGAUAAGCUUGCAGUGCAGUAUACGGAGUAUAAGAGGCCAAAUAUGUACCUGAAAUAGGGCGGGAUGAAGUCCCUGUUUCGAGUUACCGCUUGUCACCCACGUCUCUUCACCACCGCCGAGUUAGCCCAGAGGUAGCUGCUAGCCAGACAAACACCAGGCGUCUCCUAGCUUCAGUUUGGAGUCGCAGAUUUGCAAAGGGUGGUAGUGACCAAAGGAACCAGUCUCUGGUGGCACAGGGGACACACAGCUACAAAGCCAAGAUGCUGAAGAUGAUCACCAACAAUGGGAAAUGCAUGGUUUACCUUCUCCCUCUUCAAGAACAAACUGACCUCUUCUUCAUUAAGCUCUGGACAGUGCAUUUGAAGACCUACUGAGUAUGACAUGAAAUCCAGACAUCUGAGCCACACAACCCAGUGUGAAGAAGGUGAUCCAAAACCUAAUGGGCUCGCACUACAGAUCAGUGAUGGAACAGGGUUUGACAUCUGGGCAACGAUUCAGCUGGCCUGAUGGUGAUGAGCCUGGUUGACCAGCAGAGGGACAAAGUCAGUGGUGUUGCCUUUUCUUGGGACCUGCCACCAGUAAAUCGGAGAUGGCUGUUCUGACAAUUGCUUUAACAUGUGGUGAGAUGAUGUCUUAACUUUUGUUUUCCCCAGUGUUUUCUUAAUAGUAAAUGCUAUUAAUGUGCGCUCACUGGCCAGGUUACAUUACUACAUUAUGUUCAGAGGUGUCUAUAUAUUUUUGUCCUCCUCAGCUACAGAAUAUUAGGAACAACUCUGACCUCAAUAAUGAACACACAACUGAAUUUAUACAUUUUAUGACAAUCUCACCAAAAACAAACAUUUUGAGCUUCAUAUACACAGAUGUACAGGUAGUCAUAUUGUUAUUCCUGAUUGGUGUAAGUAUAAUGUUGAUUGAGGUUUUAGCUUUUCUUUAGUGGGCAUAGUAUUUGAACCUGGCCAGUGAGCACACCUUAGUAUACUGCUGAGUGGACACUGAAAAGUUCCAAGUCAGCAUUUAGUAUUAAGACAAAACAGUGGGGAAAAACAAAAGCCAUGUUAUCAGAACAGCCAUCUCCGAUUUACUGGUGGCAGGUCCCAAGAAAAGGCAA